GUAAGAUGGAUGUUGGAGAGUGAGUAACUUGCUGGAGAUUGAAAUCAUUCUGACAUCUGGCAUAUUGGUCUCAUUACUGGGUCAACUGCUUUAAGUUUCUUCAAGAAGCCCUGAUGCAAGUAAAAGCACUUUAAUCCAAGCCCAGCAGUAUCUGGUUGACCAUCUGAAGCUGUCUGGCAAUUCCAGAGUCCUAAUGUUGGCUUUAUUCCAGAUGUUACCCCACUCUACACGUCUUUGUUCAAGCCCUGGUCAGUCAAACCAGAGGACACAA